CUCGAUCCCGGGUCUCCAGGACCAGGCCCUGGGCCAAAGGCAGAGCUAAACCGCUGAACCACCCGGGCUGCCAACAACCCUUUUUUUCUCUUGAAAAAUACUGUGGGCAGUUAUUCCCAUGUUGCAGAUGUUCAAACUGAAGUUUAUAGAGAAGAAAGUUCACCGUGUGAAUUUCUGACUCUUUCUGAUGCAAAUGACAGAAAACUUGACUCAAACUGGUUUAUGCUAAAAAUAGAAUUUGCUGGCUCAGAAAACUGAAAAAUCCAGGCAUGACUUGAUCUGGAGACUCCAAAAUGUCAUAAAGACUGAAUCCCUCCACUCUGUCUUUGCCGUUUUGGUGCCACAUUUGGGCUCCAUGAGUGGUCUUCAAAGAGCAGCUCCAGGUUCAUAUCAUCCUGAGGCCUAGUUCUGUAUAAAAGAGGGUCUUGGAUGGGUACCUGGGGGGCUCAGUGUUUGGGCAUCUACCUUCAGCUCCAGGUGUGAUCCUGGGGUCCUGGGAUCAAGUCCUACGUCGGGUUCCCCGCAGAGACCCUGCUUCUCCCUCUGCCUGUGUCUCUGCCUCCCUCUCUGUCUCUCUCAUGAAUACAUAAAUAAAAAUCUUUAAAAAAAAUAAAUAAAUAAAUAAAUAAAUAAAAGAAAGAAAAAAGAGGGUCUUGGUAAUUGCAACACAAGUCUCGGGAUUUACUCUAUUACACAGGGAGGGUCAUGUGACCACCUCACAAAAGGCACAACCAGGGAAGCUAUGGCACUGAUUGGCGGCCUGGUCACGUGCAGCCUCGCCUGUACCAAGGGGCUGAAAAGGCAGGAGGGAGGACUCUUUCUCCCAAGGAGGAACAGAAAAGAUGGGGGAAUGGGUGCUAGCAGCUAACUCGACCCGUGUCUUGCAGGUCAUAGGUGGCGUGGUUGAGAAGAGUUGGGGCAGGGAGUGAGCCUUGGCAGUCGGACUGCAGAACCCUAAUUCCUCUACACCUCGCCUGCAGGUUCCAGCCCAGUAGAGAAAGCCCGGAUGUGGAAGAGAUGGAAACGAGGCUCAGAGAGGCUGACCCACAGCCACCUAAUGAGUGUUAGAAAUGUAAUGAGAAGCCAUCCAGGUUUUGAAUCUGUUGCCCCACAAGUGUCUACUAAGCACUCAACUGCAUGCCAGAGUCUGAGCUACGUCCAAGAGAUAUGGCAGUGAGGAAGAUGAGAAAAUUGAAACUCAGAGAGGAGACUCGUCUUGUCUGAGGUCACACAGCAAGGGAUUGGCUGAAGUGGGAUUGGAACCGAGGUAUACUAGAUGUCUGAAUUGUUUAACCAAGGCCACACACACCUGACCCCCAUGCCACCUGUUCACGGGUAGAGAGGGAAGAUGGGGGUCAUUCCACCUGCCAAGCUUGAGCCUGCUCAGAUCCUGCCUCAUGCACCCCCAGGAUCCUUUUCUGGUGGUUCUGAGGGGAUAGAAGCUCUGAGAGGAGCCAGCAUUUGCUCAACCCAGGAAUCUGACAGCCACCACUUCCUCGAUGGGGUGAAGCCCAGACCUACAGAACACCCAUCGCAGGUGCUCCCCUUAUGAGUGGGCCAGGUCUAUGAUGCUUGGUGGCAGUCAUGGCCACCAAGUCAUCCCUCCUCAUUUUAUAUGGGCCCAAGCCCGCCAUGGCAGCUGUCCCCCUCUUUCCCACCCACCGCUUGUCCCCAGUUGGCUCUGCAUCCCUCCCACUGGGCCUCCCUUGCCUAUCCUACCUUCACAAGGGGUAAGGCCCAGGGCUGUGCUAACUAACCACUAGCCCCCUGUGUUUGUUGAGCACUUGAAAUGUGAUUAGUGCUGCUGACGAACUGAAUUUUAAAUUUUAUUUAAUUCUAAUCAAAUUACAUUUAAAUUUUAAAAUUGAUAAUGUAGCAGGGAUGCCUGGCUGCCUCAGUUGAUAGAGCAUGUGACUCUUGAUCUCAGGUUUGUAAGCUUGAGCCCACAAUGGGAGUAGAGUUUACUUAAAAAUAAAAUGUUUUUAAAAACAUUUUUUAAAAUGUUUUUAAAAAUUGAUAAUGUAGGGCAGCCCGGGUGGCUCAGAAGUUUAGCACCACCUUUGGGCCAGGUUGUGAUUC